UCGUGCUAGACGGAGGGCUCGGGGUCCUCUAUCAAACCGCAAAUCCCCGCGGGCGGGUUGAAUCCCUGCCAGAGGACCUGGUUGGUGGUACCAGCCUGUUCCGGAAGUAGUGAAGGACGGGUUCCACACGGCGAAAGCCCGUGAACCCCGCCAGGAUCGGAAGAUAGCAACGGUAAACGUCAGCUUUCGGGUGAUGUGGCAGCGCCUGUCCGGAGCAGAAGGUUCAGGAAAUGGGCCAUUGAUUAGGCACGAGGGCAGGUGCACGA
rnacentral:SRP_RNA from 1 species